rnacentral:rRNA from 1 species
UACGUAGGCGGAAAAUUAAGUCAGUAGUGAAAUCCUGCAGCUUAACUGUAGAACUGUUAUUGAUACUGGUUUUCUUGAAUAUAGUUGAGGUAGGCGGAAUGUGUAAUGUAGCGGUGAAAUGCUUAGAUAUUACACAGAACACCGAUUGCGAAGGCAGCUUACUAAGCUUUGAUUGACGCUGAGGUACGAAAGCGUGGGGAGCGAACAGGAUUAGAUACCCUGGUAGUCC